GCCGACCUGGUGACCUUUUCAGCUUUCCUACCUCCCUCGGCAAACCACUGCCUCCCCGCCAUGUGAAAGGAGCAGAUGCAAGAGAACAAGAUUCUCAGGCUGAGAAGGUCGUCAUUUGCCAGCUGCGUGAUUUGGGGCUGGGUUUGUCGGAAGCUGACCCCGGAGUGAUUCAAGUGAACAUGACGUGGAGGACUCGGGUGGCCAUCUCGUGUAGGGAAGGACCCAUUGGUCGGCUCUUUUUGGUGCCCAUGCUCAACAGCCUUUCGGAGACAAUGGGGGGAAGGAGCACAAGGACCUUCUGCGAGGCCAGCCUUCAAGACUCUGGCUUCUUUCUGUCUCUAGGACAUUGAGGACAGUCAGUGGGACA